CCUACGGGAGGCAGCAGUGGGGAAUAUUGGGCAAUGGGCGCAAGCCUGACCCAGCAACGCCGCGUGAAGGAAGAAGGCUUUCGGGUUGUAAACUUCUUUUCUCAGGGACGAAGCAAGUGACGGUACCUGAGGAAUAAGCCACGGCUAACUACGUGCCAGCAGCCGCGGUAAUACGUAGGUGGCAAGCGUUAUCCGGAUUUACUGGGUGUAAAGGGCGUGUAGGCGGGGACGCAAGUCAGAUGUGAAAACCACGGGCUCAACCUGUAGCCUGCAUUUGAAACUGUGUUUCUUGAGUACUGUAGAGGCAGACGGAAUUCCUAGUGUAGCGGUGAAAUGCGUAGAUAUUAGGAGGAACACCAGUGGCGAAGGCGGUCUGCUGGACUGCAACUGACGCUGAGGCGCGAAAGCGUGGGGAGCAAACAGGAUUAGAUACCCUGGUAGUC
rnacentral:rRNA from 1 species